rnacentral:rRNA from 1 species
CCUACGGGUGGCAGCAGUGGGGAAUAGUGGACAAUGGGGGCAACCCUGAUCCAGCCAUGCCGCGUGUGUGAAGAAGGCCCUCGGGUUGUAAAGCACUUUCAGUGAGGAAGAACGCCUGGUGGUUAAUACCCAUCAGGAAAGACAUCACUCACAGAAGAAGCACCGGCUAACUCCGUGCCAGCAGCCGCGGUAAUACGGAGGGUGCGAGCGUUAAUCGGAAUUACUGGGCGUAAAGCGCGCGUAGGUGGCUUGAUAAGCCGGUUGUGAAAGCCCCGGGCUCAACCUGGGAACGGCAUCCGGAACUGUCAAGCUAGAGUGCAGGAGAGGAAGGUAGAAUUCCCGGUGUAGCGGUGAAAUGCGUAGAGAUCGGGAGGAAUACCAGUGGCGAAGGCGGCCUUCUGGACUGACACUGACACUGAGGUGCGAAAGCGUGGGUAGCAAACAGGAUUAGAUACCCGAGUAGUC